AGAGUUUGAUCAUGGCUCAGAACGAACGCUGGCGGCGUGCUUAACACAUGCAAGUCGCGUGCGCAGUUGCCGUAGCAAUACGGUGAUGGGCGCACGGCGCACGGGUGCGUAACACGUGGGCAAUCUGCCCUUUGAUGGGGAAUAACCCGCCGAGAGGCGGGCUAAUUCCGCAUAAGAUCCCCGAGACUUAGGUUUUGGGAUUGAAAGCAGCAAUGCGUCGAAGGAGGAGCCCGCGCCCGAUUAGCUAGUUGGUGAGGUAACGGCUCACCAAGGCAAUGAUCGGUAGCUGGUCUGAGAGGAUGAUCAGCCACACUGGAACUGAGACACGGUCCAGACUCCUACGGGAGGCAGCAGUGGGGAAUCUUGCACAAUGGGCGAAAGCCUGAUGCAGCGACGCCGCGUGGGGGAUGAAGCAUUUCGGUGUGUAAACCCCUUUCGACUGGGACGAAUGCCUCGCAAGAGGAGUGACGGUACCAGUAGAAGAAGCCCCGGCUAACUACGUGCCAGCAGCCGCGGUAAGACGUAGGGGGCCAGCGUUGUUCGGAAUUACUGGGUGUAAAGGGUUCGUAGGCGGUGCGGCAAGUUGGGAGUGAAAUCUCUGGGCUUAACCCAGAGGCUGCUUCCAAAACUGCUGUGCUCGAGUGUGAGAGAGGCUCGUGGAAUUGCAGGUGUAGCGGUGAAAUGCGUAGAUAUCUGCAGGAACACCCGUGGCGAAAGCGGCGAGCUGGAUCACUACUGACGCUGAGGAACGAAAGCUAGGGGAGCAAACAGGAUUAGAUACCCUAGUAGUCC
rnacentral:rRNA from 1 species